rnacentral:rRNA from 1 species
UCGAGAAUCUUCGUCAAUGGGCGCAAGCCUGAACGAGCGACGCCGCGUGCGGGAUGAAGGCCUUCGGGUUGUAAACCACUGUCAGUGGGGAGGAAGGCUCCGUGAAGAGCGGGGUUUGACCUAUCCGCAGAGGAAGUACGGGCUAAGUUCGUGCCAGCAGCCGCGGUAACACGAACCGUACAAACGUUAUUCGGAAUUACUGGGCUUAAAGGGUGCGUAGGCGGCUCAGAAAGUUGGGUGUGAAAUCCCUCGGCUCAACCGAGGAAUUGCGCUCAAAACUACUGAGCUUGAGGGAGACAGAGGUGAGUGGAACUUAGGGUGGAGCGGUGAAAUGCGUUGAUAUCCUAAGGAACACCAGUGGCGAAAGCGACUCACUGGGUCUCUACUGACGCUGAGGCACGAAAGCCAGGGGAGCGAACGG